GGCUCAGGAUGAACGCUAGCGGCAGGCUUAAUACAUGCAAGUCGAGGGGUAGCAAGAUUGUAGCAAUACAAUUGUUGACGACCGGCAAACGGGUGCGGAACACGUACACAACCUUCCUACAAGUGGGGAAUAGCCCAGAGAAAUUUGGAUUAAUACCCCGUAACAUAGCGAUGUGGCAUCACAUUGCUAUUAUAGCUUCGGCGCUUGUUGAUGGGUGUGCGGCUGAUUAGAUAGUUGGCGGGGUAACGGCCCACCAAGUCUACGAUCAGUAGCUGAUGUGAGAGCAUGAUCAGCCACACGGGCACUGAGACACGGGCCCGACUCCUACGGGAGGCAGCAGUAAGGAAUAUUGGACAAUGGACGCAAGUCUGAUCCAGCCAUGCCGCGUGAAGGAUUAAGGUCCUCUGGAUUGUAAACUUUCUUUUAUAAGGGACGAAAAAAGGUCUUUCUAGAUCGUCUGACGGUACCUUAUGAAUAAGCACCGGCUAACUCCGUG
rnacentral:rRNA from 1 species